AAGGGAGACCUAAUUCAGGUAGGAGACGAAAAAAAAGUAGUCGCUACCAAGAAUCAAUCCCAAAAGGUCGGAGCGAGGCGAAAUUGGCUUUCAAACUAGGUUCUGGGUUCACACAAGACCUGAAUCAGGAACAAGGGCUAUUAGCUCAGGUGGUUAGAGCGCACCCCUGAUAAGGGUGAGGUCCCUGGUUCGAGUCCAGGAUGGCCCACCUGUACAGGUGGCAAAAAGAAAGAAAAGAAGCGAGGAAUCAGCACCUUAUCUUACUGACAUAGUAGGAGAGAAUGCUGGCUCUGAGUAAAGAGUCCAGAGGAACCUUGAAAACUGCAUAGAGCUAGGUGAAAAAGCCAAAAAAGAAGACCGCAA
rnacentral:tRNA from 1 species